ACCCUUUGGUUCCCAGGUUGGUGCUAAAUCCACGGAGCUACACCAGCCAGGGCAAUACAUUUCCUUUUACACUUAAGCAGGUUGACCUGAAUUUGUAUUUGUUCACACAACUAAAUGACUCUCAACUAACAUGGAAAGGCAGAGGCAACUGUAGUUCUUGAUGAUUCCCAUAGCUCAUUACCAAGCCACUUAGGAAAGCGCAAAGUAAAAUUAAAAAAGUUAUUAUACACAGAAACAGCAAUACAGAAAAACACAUACUUUUAAAAAACUCAGAAAUAGCCUCUCAGGUAGGUGCUAUUCCUAAGCUGGUCUAUGAAGACUUAACAAUUUUGGUUUUCAAGAUCCUUGGCAAGGCAGGAGGAAACCAGAAGUACUUAGAACAUUUUCCUUUAUCACCAGACUCCCCAUUUAAAAAAUUCCUCAGAUGAUCAGAAAGCCCCUGCAAAUAAAGCUGUAAAAUUUUAAUAGCUGCCUUUUAAACUGCAAUGGAAAUUGCUUUUCUGUAACUCUUAUCUCCCUCCCUUCCCCUCUCUAGAGUGAUGUACAUGGCUCUUAAAAGACACAUCAGCAGUGGUGUGCAGCGAUGCUCUGUCUCUCUGAGUUGAGAAUCGACUUACUGACAAUUGGAGGAAGCUGUGAUGUCCAACAGCCUGGUAAUCCUCAAACAUGGGAGGGGCCACGGCAGAGAGCAAGAGGCCAAGGGGUUGUGGAAAUGGCAGCAGAAGUGGGCAACAGAACCAGGAAUUCGUCCAGGACCCAAGAUGUCCCAGCACAGCCACCAGAGCAACAGCCCCAGUCCACCUGCCCCAUACGUUACAGUGACAGGGCCAAGAUGAUGAGAAAACCUGGGGGUAAGAGGGUAUCCCAGCCUGACUCCCAGCCUGAGUGGCUCCUCCCCUCAUCCACAGUGAUGGGUUCUGGGAGAAACACGUGACCUAAGCAGGGCUAAUCAGAGUUGGCCCUGGAAAUUUUGCUGGAAUCACUGGGGAAAAGGGAUGGGACACUUGGCAGGGGCUGUUGAGGGCUACUUUGGUCCCUGGAGGUGGGAGUGGGACACCUGAGAAUGAAGUUGAGGCUGAGAACUAGAGCCCAGACGUGGGAAGGGUGGAAUCUUGACAGGAGUACUUGAAUGCCGACUCCAGUCAUGCCAGCUCUGGGAUUUUUCAGGUCCCGGAGUCAUUAACCUCCCUUUGCAGUGUAAGCCAGUUUAAAUUAGGGAGAUUCUAUCAUAUACAACAGAAAUAACUGACUGAUAGAACUGGGAAAGACCUCAAAAAUCAAUACAGUGCUCCUUAAUGUUUGGUUGAACAUGAUCCUUCUAAGAAGCUGACAAAACAAAACUGUAUCAAGUCUCUCCUGAAAACAAAACAAAAACACACAAAAUACUGCACGUCUCAUGGAUGUCAAAACCCUUAUUAUAGGAACUGGGUGAAGAAUGCUUUGGUCUAGUCUGGCCCGUCCAUUUAGUGGAAAUUGUGGUUCAGAAUGCUCCAAUGAGUUGUCUGGGGCCAAUGAGGGCAAAGCCAGGCCUCCCUAGAGCCCCAGGAGGUUCCACCUUGAACCCCCCAUGAGUACAGACCUCAGGGAAGACUGUGGAGGGGUCGGGGAGCAGCAGGUGAAGCUUCAGGCCCCACACCCCCACUGACCCACAGCAGCCCCACCGUGUUCUGUUUUAUAGAACAGGCUUUCAGGGAAGUGUCUGACCUUGUUCCAUCACUCCACAGUCAACACUGAAAACCAGUCUCUCAUAUCAUAUUUCAAAGUACAGUUGGCCCUUGAACACAGUAAAAAAUCCGUGUAUAACUUGUGAUUCUACUACAGUCAGCCCUUUGCAUCUGUGGAUUCAACCAAUGACAUGGAUCAAAAAGUUACUUUCUAUCUGUGGUUGGGGACCCGAGGUGGGGAAACCGAGGUGGAGAGUGAGAAAUACUGUGAGGUUUUGAUCCUCACAGAAGCCUACGAAGCAGGCAUUCUCGCCAUGGCUCUGCGUGAGAUUCUUCUGCAGUGGUCAGCUGGGGUGCUGCCCUCCUGUCCCCCAGGCAGCCAGGCACCUGGGCCUUUCUGUUCCUGUGCUUCUGGCCUGACAUUUCUGAUCUUCCUUUCUAUUUCCAUCCCAACUCAUCCAGAAAGCCUCCUCCACUCAUACCUCUUCACUCCCCCCUUUUACUCAGUCCUCUACAAAGACCAAGGAAAAAGGAUGAGGCUAAUCGGACCAGUCAGAGAUCAUGACUCUUGCUGGCACCUGCUUUUCCCACGGGCAGGUUAUUAGCCCCAAAGGCUGAAACCAGGACUACCAGCUUUCCUUGUGCCCAGAGAUGGCGGCAGGCUCUCUUCUGCUUUCUGUGCUGGAACAGGACACACAGCCUGGACACUGUUCACCCAACCUCUAAAAGGGCCUGGUCACACGUACCCUCUCCUGACCAAGUGCUGAUGGGAGCAGCCAUGUCUCUCUCCUCUGCGCGGCUGGUUGUGUAAGUGGCUGAUCUAGGAAUUGAGAUGGGAGGUGAAGUAAAACCAAGCCCACCAGGGCCUUCUGCCAUAAGCUGCGUUCUCCUGCUAGACUACCGGAGCCUCACACUGAGAGAUCAGGGGCUUAACCCACCAAUGAAAUGGUUCGAUCACCCUUCACUUAGAGAAGAAUCCUGCUCUAUCUGCCUGCAUCCUGUUUCUGAAAUAGUGACCCAGGAAAAUCCUUGUUCAUUCAACUGUCUCUACCUACCUGCCAACAAGGAAAAGCUGCCAUGUGAAGAAAGAACUUUUGCCUUGGGAAAAUCUAGGCCCUCAACCACCCUACAUACAGCAGCUGCUGAGAUCAAGUCACAAUUAAUCAUGCUUUACUUUAUGACCUAUAUUCUAUUAAUAACAUGCCAGCAAUUUAGCCCUGGUUAUUUAUUUCAUUGACUGAUUCAGUCCACAAUAUGACUAAGGCAGGGUGGCUGACUAUGAGGGUCUCACAUUCUAAUCUCCUGUCCUUCUCUCCCACCCAAGAUAAGCAUCAUGGUACAGGGCUCUAAGGACUUCACUCCAAAGUGCCAGGGGACUAACUGCCAUGCCUCCAGCCCAGCCCAAGUAACUCCAUGGAGGAGUGGCUCAACAGAGAACACUGCUAAGAACCUGCUUGGGGAAAGCAAUAAGUGUGCCAUUUCAUGCACAGCAAAUUGGUUAGACAUCAGCCUGACACCACCAAAUGUGCUGAAGCUGUGGCGUUAACAGGAACUCGGUCACUGCGGGUGGGAACACACCGCAAAACAGACAUUUUGAGAAAACAGCUGGCAAUUUCUUGUGAAGAAAAAGAACGAAUAGCCUCCAUGACUUGCUUCACUGCCCCCAGUGACUGGGCUCUGGGGUUCCUUGCCCAGUUCCUAGACCCAUGUGUCUUUGCAAAUAAAUUCUCAUUCUGACUUGAAGCAUUAAGUUUUUGCUUUGAUUUUCCAUGUAACCCUCACACCAACCCUGUGCAGCAGGGUUUACCAGCAUCCCUACUUUCACCAGACAAGAACACAGGCACAGAGAGUAACCUGCCCAGGAUCACACCACAAGGAGGGGGCACAGCCAGGAGACCCAGGGGCACAGACCCAGUGGGUCUGUCUCCAGGACCACCAACAAUGCCAAACACAGCAGUUAAAAAUAGCAUGGGCUCAGCCUCGGAGCCUGUGUGAUUCCUCUUUCAGACAUCAAUUUCAGAUGGAUCAAAAACCCAAAUACCAAAAAAAAAAAAAAAAUACCAUUGUGUCUAAAACAUAACACAGGAGCAUACUUUCACGUUGGAGUAGGUAAAGGUUUCCCACUCGGGGAUUCUCAGAAACUGUUUGCUCUCCUCACAAAAGGGGUCAGACUCAUCCACAGAGUCCUGUGUCCUUUCUCCAGUCUGCCUUUUUACAGCACGGAAUGUAAAUAAAUGUGAUACCUAGGUUUGACAGGGUGUCUCUUGUCCUCAGAGCACUACUGUGACAGAACAGAAGGGCUGAACUCUCAAGGUGCCUUAGCCUCCCGGGGAAGGUGGGUGCAGCAGCCCUCUUGUAGCCACAAGGGGCCAGAGUCCCGGCAGCACUGGUGUUGACUUUGUCAAGCCACUGAGCCACAUCCUCCCUCUCCAGCUGUUACAUGGUUCACACAACCUCCGAGGUGUUGAAGUGACAUUGCCACUUGUGUAUUCUUAUUCAGUGGAACCUCAGUUUUUGAACUUAAUUUGUUCUAGAAGGGUGUUCUAGAAGUGAUUUGUUUGAAAACCAAAUCAUUUUCUGCCAUUAGAAAUACAGUAAUGUACAGGUAUCAGCAUGAAAGGGUUGUCGGGCCAACAACUAAAGUCUGAAGGUACUGUGGUCGAGUGUGUUCCCAACUGGACACCUGCUACAGCCGAGCUCCAGCAGCCUAGAGAGUUAGCAAACAGCCACUAACAUGGACUUGAAGGUGUCCCAAGAAGACUCAGCUGAGAAAUAAACUUCUGGCAAUCUUUGGGAAAGAUUUCCACCAAGCUUGGCAGAUCACAGGCAUCUAGAGAUGACUAGGAACCUGAACGAAUUCUCAGAGGACCUGAAUUGGGAACAGCCUUCUUUCUCUCCACAGACUUCUAAGAGAUCAGGGAGGCUGACUUUAAAGGCCGAGCCCACUGCACUGAAACACCCGCAUCAUGGUCUGUGGGCCCAGGCUCACUGGCUGGGGAAAUCCCGUGUAACUUGUGGAUAUUUUCCCUGUCACCAGGCAUGUGCGGGAUGUGCCAACAGUUCCUCCCCUUCCUGUGCUCCCAUAAAAGCAGCUUGUCAGUGUGGGUUCGGAUGCUGGGUGCUUUUCCACAAAGCACUUUCCAGUUCCUGACCAGUCAGAUGAAAGACAGAACAAUGGUCAAUCAACCAAAAUAGGUCAGGCUUUAUAUUUUAAUCCUCCUAUUCAUAACAUAUUGAAAGGGAAGAAUAAAAACAUUACCAACAGCAAAAACAUCUAUGGUUACUUAACCUCUCUGGGCCUCAGUUUCCUAAAACAAGGAAAAUAACAGGAAUAUUGUGAGGAUUAAGGAAAUUACUCCAUGACAAAUGUUUAGAACAGAAUCUAUUGUGUAGUGAGUGUUCAAUAAAAAUGAGCUACCAUUAUUUUUAUUGCUGGGGACUGAAGGCCCUUGAGCCAUUUCAAAAUCCACCCUCUGGUGAAUCAUCCAGAAAAAGGCACUGCUCUGAUUCUGGCCACUUAGGGUAGGAGGGAGGCUUUAAGGCCAAUGAGGAGAAGCUGGCUGCUGUGGCCCAAGGUACUGCAGGCAGGAAAUGGACUUACUGGGUACUAACUGCCCACCCAGUAGCCAUUCUUGCCUUUCUUCUAAGGAAAGACUGUAUCUCUCAACCUCCUUUGCAGCCAGAGGGGACCAACAAGAGGGGAGCAAAAGUUGCGGGACUUCAGGAAAAUUCCUUACCAGAAACACAGAGCUGGACUAUAUUUUUGUGCCCGUUCCCACACCCUGAUUCCUAUGCAGACCACGGACUCACUGGCUAGACUCCAGCAGUCACACCAGGUCACCUUAAGGACAAAAGUCUCGUGCCAGGGAUGGUGAAGUGGAAAGACAGAAGAAGCCUGCUCUUCCUGAUGACUGUGGGGCUGCCACAGUCCUGGACUACCAAUCUCUGACACCUUGCUCACGAAAGAAACCACCCUCCACUAAGUUUGCACCACUGUUAGUUCUGGUCUCUACUAUUGACAGUCAAAUGCACUUUCAAAUAAUACUGCAGUUUUACACAGCUGGUCACCAAUGGGACAGUGUUUUAUGCCAGAGAAAUCCUUCUAGUAAUCUGUGACCACUUAAAGUGACCUCAUGCUUUAGGGACCUUGCUCUCUCAAUACCAGGUAGAAAGCUAGACACGGAACUUCCCACAGAAUGGGGUUACAAUCAUUUUGCCUUAAGAGGAGGUAAAAUGAAAACUAUAUGAGAUACACUGAGUCAUUCAUUCAGCCAUCAUUAAGUGCUCCUCUCUGCUGGGGAGCGUGCGAGGUAGGGGGCUAAAUAUGGUGAACACAAGCAGAUGUGGUUUCUGCUCUCACAAAGCAUCCAGAACAGAACAGAAGGCAGGAAACAAACAUGCAAACAAACAGAAAUGUAAGUUCAAGUGGUGAGAAGUAACAUGUAGAAAACCAGGGUGAGUAUUAGCUCAGAAGUAAAGAGAAAGGAGAAGGAAGGCAUGUGAAUAGUGGGAGUAAGGAAUAUCCCAAAAUGUCUAUCAUCUGAAGAAUGGAUAAACAAAACACGGUUCAUCUGUACAAUGGAAUAUCAUUCAACCACAAAAAUAAUGAUUCAUGUAUAGCAUGGAUGAGCACUGAAAACACCAUGCUGAGCGAAAGAAACCAGUCACUGAAGAUCACAUAUUACAGGAUUCCAUUUACAUGAACUGUCCAGAAGAGGUGAAUCUAGAGACAGAAAGUAGAGCAGCGAAUGCCAGGGGCUGUGAGGAGGCAGAAUUGUGGAGAGAGAGAGAGACUGCUAAUGGUUGCAGGGUUUCUUUCUGAGUCAAUGAAAAUGCACUGGAGUCAGAAACUAGUGAUGGUUGCACAAUCCUGUAACUACAUCAAAACCCAUGAAUGGUGCACUUUAAAAGGAUGAAUUUUAUAUCAUGUGAAUUAUAUAUCAAUUAAAAGACACUCAAAGGUCUACCCAAAUUGAAUUACUGGACUGGUAAUAAAGUUUCCAAUGAAAGUU